rnacentral:lncRNA from 1 species
GCGUGCAUAGGUGCACGGCGUGCAACCCCUCUGCUCAUCAAUUUCAUUUCUCAAUCUUCCGUUCGAGCUCCAACCGUGUUCUACUUCAUGUUCAUUGCUUCAUAACAAGACCACCUAUCUCUAGAGUACCUGUGGACAACAAAUACUACAAAGAAACACAUCAAAUGGACCGAAACGGUCCAAAUGAACGGGUCUAGGCACAUAAUGCCAAAACACGAAAUCACACAAGAAUGAAGCUCGAACAAACUAAUAAUCACUCAAAAAGCAUGCAUAUAAGGAUAGAUAAUUUUUACAAAUUCUACCCUUAUCACCAUCAUUUCAGGAUUUUUAACGAUGUUAGUGGAUCCAUUCUUUUCUUUGUUAUCUCUAGCACGUUGAUUAAAAUCUUUAGCAUAAUGACCCUCUUUACCAUAGUAAAAACAGAUAACCUUGGGUUAAAAAUUAUCAGAACCAGUUUUAUCUUUGUUUGUACCUUUCUUAGAUUUCCAAUUUUUGGCCAGCAGAACCUCAGUCUUAUUAUGAGAUUACUUUUCAGUUUUAGCUUUAGACUUUGACUUAAAAAUAUUAAGAACAUCAUCCUUUUGGGAGAUGGCCUUGGAAAUUUUCUUAACAGUGAACUCACCCCUCCUAUACUGUAUAACAUCUAUGAAGUAUUUUUCCUUUACCAAUAUAUCCUUUAUCUUGAUCUUCCAGAUGGAAAAGUCAAUACUACCAUCGAACGGUUUCAAUCAAGCACCAUCUGCCAUCUUUUUUUGGGAUUUCUCUGCGUAUACAUAGACAAUGGGAAUAGAGGUGAGAAAAUGACAAACACCAUAGAAACCAGUAAAAAAAAGCUCUAAUCUGACGAAUCAACGCUAAGGAGUACAGUUAACGAAGAACAAUCAAAACAUGGGAUCGAGAACACACACGAGCGGAAGCAAAUAGCAGAGAUGUACCCAAACGAGGCUCUGAUACUACUUUGAGGACCGAAAUCGACAAUUUAUGCAAACCGAUAGAGGCAGGGAUCACAAACGAACUAUUUGCAACCCUAAUCUACGCAUGCAUGAAAGUAAAUCCACACAUGAAUUAUUCACGCAGUUCAGGUAAAUCCUACUCUGCAGAGUCUCAGUGGGGGAGACGCAGCCCGAAUCCACUAUCACAAGUCACCAGAAAGAGUAUCGAGAGGAAUAGAGAGAACCCCGAUACAAAUCCAGGAAGACAACAGAGCAAUCAAACAACACAGAGGAACAGAAUCAACAAGCACUAGAGAGAAACAAUAUUCUCUGAUCUGAGCAAAGUAGAAGCUCCGAUCCGCAAUCCACCGUCUGGUCGUGAAGAACCCUAGCAAGCUGGAGAGGAUUCCCAGAUCCAGUUGAGAGAGAGCAGCUUGGAGAAAGAGGAGAUUAUUCAACUUCUGAAGACAACGUCACGGCCCCAGAUCCAGUUCCAGUGUCCAAACGCAUCGUUUCAAUAAGCGCUAAAGAAGGUUGACCAUCAUAGCCGGUCUGACCCAACCUGCUCAAAUAUAACCCAUACCCGGAUUUGAUUUAAGGAUAAAAUACUUAACAUUUACAAAAUGGUAAAAGCAAUAAAUAGAAGACUCACCUUGAUCUUCUUCUUCCUAAAUCACCAUUCAGCUGCAGAUUCUGACGAAGAAGACGACGAACCUCCCUUAAAAACCUUCUUUUCCUCACACUUACGACAUUUAAAGACUAAAACAACAAGAUCGUGUAUUCCCGAUACUAUGGGCGAAAUUGCAUAUUUACCGAAUAGGUUGUGUCUUAUUUGUGAAUUUUGUCCUAAUUAUUAUCUUUCGCAGGAGGAAGAGACAGGAGCAGGUGAUGAGUCAGUGCUCAACGUAGUUGGGUCCGCCAG